rnacentral:rRNA from 1 species
UGGAGGCAGCAGGGGGAAUAUUGGACAAUGGGCGAAAGCCUGAUCCAGCCAUGCCGCGUGAGUGAAGAAGGCCUUCGGGUUGUAAAGCUCUUUCGGCGGGGACGAUGAUGACGGUACCCGCAUAAGAAGCCCCGGCAAACUUCGUGCCAGCAGCCGCGGUAAUACGAAGGGGGCUAGCGUUGUUCGGAAUUACUGGGCGUAAAGCGAACGUAGGCGGUGUUCCAUGUCAGAGGUGAAAGCCUGGGGCUCAACUCCAGAAUUGCCUUUGAAACGGGAACGCUUGAGUCCGAGAGAGGGUGGCGGAAUUCCUAGUGUAGAGGUGAAAUUCGUAGAUAUUAGGAAGAACACCAGUGGCGAAGGCGGCCACCUGGCUCGGUACUGACGCUCAGGUUCGAAAGCGUGGGGAGCAAACAGGAUUAGAUACCCUGGU